AGAACAACCUCAACAACCAACACCAUGUGUGGCUACUACGGAAACUACUAUGGCGGCAGAGGCUAUGGCUGCUGUGGCUAUGGAGGCCUGGGCUGUGGCUAUGGCUCCUACUAUGGCUGUGGCUUCCGUGGACUGGGCUGUGGCUAUGGCUAUGGCUGUGGCUAUGGCUCCCGCUCUCUCUAUGGUUGCGGCUAUGGCUGUGGCUCUGGCUAUGGCUCUGAUAAGAGAUUCUCAUCUUUUCCAAUUGUGACUUUAAGACUCACCAAUCCUGAAUGUCAACACACUGAGCCUCCUCUCUGAAGAUGAUGCUGUACAAGAAGUUUCUACAUCUACUGUGACUUACACCAAUGCCACAUGCUCCCAGGAUGUCCCUCAUGAAGAGAGGGCAUGAAAUUGACAUGACUUUUGUCACUUCCAUGGUUCUCAGAAUAAUAUUAUCAGAACAAUGGCCUUGUUGACUCUCAUGUUUGUCCUCAUUUAUCUCAUCUCCAAUAAACAUCUUUAAUA
rnacentral:lncRNA from 1 species